AUUGAACGCUGGCGGCAGGCUUAACACAUGCAAGUCGAGCGAGCGGCGGACGGGUGAGUAAUGUCUGGGAAACUGCCUGAUGGAGGGGGAUAACUACUGGAAACGGUAGCUAAUACCGCAUACCAUCAGAUCUGCCCAGAUGGGAUUAGCUAGUAGCUGGGGUAAUGGCACACCUAGGCGACGAUCCCUAGCUGGUCUGAGAGGAUGACCAGCCACACGGGAACGGAGACACGGUCCAGACUCCUACGGGAGGCAGCAGUGGGGAAUAUUGCACAAUGGGCGAAAGGCUGAUGCAGCCAUGCCGCGUGUGUGAAGAAGGCCUUCGGGUUGUAAAGCACUGUCAGCGAGGAGGCGUUACUCGCAGAAGAAGCACCGGCUAACUCCGUGCCAGCAGCCGCGGUAAUUC
rnacentral:rRNA from 1 species